rnacentral:rRNA from 1 species
UACGUAGGGUGCGAGCGUUGUCCGGAUUUAUUGGGCGUAAAGAGCGUGUAGGCGGCCAGACAGGUCCGUUGUGAAAACUAGAGGCUUAACCUCUAGACGUCGAUGGAAACCGUCUGGCUAGAGUCCGGAAGAGGAGAAUGGAAUUCCUGGUGUAGCGGUGAAAUGCGCAGAUAUCAGGAAGAACACCCGUGGCUAAGGCGGUUCUCUAGUACGGUACUGACGCUGAGACGCGAAAGCGUGGGGAGCGAACAGG